rnacentral:lncRNA from 1 species
UGGCAUCUCUCUUUCCGUAAAUUGCAAGUAAUGCAUAGUUUUCUGAUAGGCUUACUUCCAAUACUAAUUUUGUAAAUAUUUCUUCUUCCUGGAUAGCCUUCAAAUUCAUUGCUUGAGUAGAAAAUUGCAUCAUUUGUUACUCUAAAAAUAUAUAUUGCCUCCCAUUCUCCACUUGUAAUUUGGAUUGCAUUCUCCACAGAACCAUUGAUGUAAUGUAUAUGCUUAUAACCAUUUUUGUCACUAAAAAUUUUGUAGUACGAACUGCCGUCUGAGGUAAAAUAUGGUGCAGAAACAAAGAAUCCGCCUGCCCAUCCUGUUUGACUCUCCUCGAUGUGCUGUUGAUUCUCUGGACAGUCCCAAGUAUUUGAAUUUUCUUUGAAGUCACAAAUAGCUAAGACUGAAAAAUUUUGGAUUCUCUUUAGCCAUUGCACACCAACUCGACUAUCUGUUACCCAAGUAAGCCAAGUAAAAUAAUGAUCACUUGAUGCAAUCACUGCAGGAACUGGCACCUCUUUAGGACCAAAUGCUUCAAUGUUAGUAGUGUCUACAAUGAACACUUUAACAGUAGGAUUUUUAGCACCAGCCUUGGGGUAUGGGAUAAUUAUUUUUCUUGGGUAUUGGUCCUCGCCAAAAUACGAAUAUUCAAUUACUGGUAUAUCAGAAUCAUUAAAUUGUACAUAUGCUAAGUAUUUUCCACUUGGAGACCACCACAAUGCAUAUUUAGUUGCUAGCAUUUCCUCUUCAUAGACCCAAUCUGGUAUCCCAUUAAAUAUUUCAUUUUCUUUUCCAUCACUAGUUAGUUUAAUUGGUGCCUCUCUUGGACUUUGUUUCAAAUAGAUAUUAUUUUGGUAAACAUACGCCAAUUUGUGUCCAACGGGUGACCAGGAUAUAUACUGAAUUUUAUGUGGAAGCUGAUUUUCUGUUACAAAACCACCAUAUAUGAGAUCAUAAAUGUGGUAUGAUGCAGUAUAAGAAUAUCUCCACAGCUUUGAAUAAUUGCUCUCCAGAGCUAUGAAGUAUUUGUCUGAUGACAUCACAUAAUUUGAAGCAUUAACUUGUUUCAUUGUGCUGUUGGUCAUGAUGGUAGUUAGGUAGUUCAUGUCAACAUUGAAAAGAAUAAUAUCAUCUUCUUGAUUCUGGUGAAGAUAUUCACUAUCUGACACCCAGUAUGGAAAAUAUGUUUUAUAUUGAAAAUUUCCAUUCAAGUAAUCAUCCAGUGUAAGAGCUCUAGGACCAUCAACUGUGGUGACAACUUUGGACGGAAGCAGUACAAUACACAUAAGUAAUAAGGAAAGCAAAACACAUACAACCACGCCAAAUAGUACUUUUAGCCGGGUCUUCAUUUUCCUGCAGUCUUCCUAAAGAACUCAAACUCUUUUUCUGGGAGUUGGUCAGCG